UACGUAGGGUGCGAGCGUUAAUCGGAAUUACUGGGCGUAAAGCGUGCGCAGGCGGUGAUGUAAGACAGAUGUGAAAUCCCCGGGCUCAACCUGGGAACUGCAUUUGUGACUGCAUCGCUGGAGUGCGGCAGAGGGGGAUGGAAUUCCGCGUGUAGCAGUGAAAUGCGUAGAUAUGCGGAGGAACACCGAUGGCGAAGGCAAUCCCUUGGGCCUGCACUGACGCUCAUGCACGAAAGCGUGGGGAGCAAACAGG
rnacentral:rRNA from 1 species